rnacentral:rRNA from 1 species
AGCAGUCGCCGCGGUAAUACGAAGGGGGCUAGCGUUGUUCGGAUUUACUGGGCGUAAAGGGCGCGUAGGCGGACUGAUAAGUCAGGGGUGAAAUCCCAAGGCUCAACCUUGGAACUGCCUUUGAUACUGCUUGUCUUGAGUUCGAGAGAGGUAAGUGGAACUGCGAGUGUAGAGGUGAAAUUCGUAGAUAUUCGCAAGAACACCAGUGGCGAAGGCGGCUUACUGGCUCGAAACUGACGCUGAGGCGCGAAAGCGUGGGGAGCAAACAGGAUUAGAGACCCCCGUAGUCCCUGUCUCUUAUAC